GACAUAUAGUGUAUCAUGGCAUACAAAGCAAACAUCUCUUCAUAUUCAUGCAGGGUUUUAUGGUUUUCAGGCAGUGAAAAAGUCAAUGAUGAAAUGUUACACAUUAUACAGCUUUGAUAAAAGUCAUAUCAGUAUUCACUUUUAUGUCAUUACUCCUCCUAUCCUAUCAUAAUCUAAAACAGAUGUUCAGUCAUCCAUUAUUUUAUGAUUUGUCAUCGUCAAGCAAUAGAAAAUGUUUCACCCCUUAAAUUGACUCAUCUUCUAAAUGGAAAUCAACCAAACAAUUGUUAGCAUUGUUUAAAAAUCAGCAACACAAUCACACACCAGCACAUCAAUCACACACCAGCAACACAAUCACACACCAUCACAUCAAACACAAACCAGCAACACAAUCACACACCAGCACAUCAAACACAAACCAGCAAAACAAUCACACACCAUCACAUCAAACACAAACCAGCAACACAAUCACACACCAUCACAUCAAACACAAACCAGCAAAACAAUCACACACCAUCACAUCAAACACAAACCAGCAACACAAUCACACACCAUCACAUCAAACACAAACCAGCAACACAAUCACACACCAGCACAUCAAACACAAACCAGCAACACAAUCACACACCAGCACAUCAAACACAAACCAGCAAAACAAUCACACACCAUCACAUCAAACACAAACCAGCAACACAAUCACACACCAGCACAUCAAACACAAACCAGCAACACAAUCACACACCAUCACAUCAAACACAAACCAGCAACACAAUCACACACCAUCACAUCAAACACAAACCAGUAACACACACACACACCAUCACAUCAAACACAAACCAGCAACACAAUCACACACCAUCACAUCAAACACAAACCAGCAACACAAUCACACACCAUCACAUCAAACACAAACCAGCAACACAAUCACACACCAUCACAUCAAACACAAACCAGCAACACAAUCACACACCAUCACAUCAAUCACAAACCAGCAACACAAUCACACACCAGCACAUCAAACACAAACCAGCAACACAAUCACACACCAUCACAUCAAACACAAACCAGCAACACAAUCACACACCAUCACAUCAAACACAAACCAGCAACACAAUCACACACCAGCACAUCAAACACAAACCAGCAAUACAAUCACACACCAUCACAUCAAACACAAACCAGCAACACAAUCACACACCAUCACAUCAAACACAAACCAGUAACACACACACACACACCAUCACAUCAAACACAAACCAGCAACACAAUCACAGACCAUCACAUCAAACACAAACCAGCAACACAAUCACACACCAUCACAUCAAACACAAACCAGCAACACAAUCACACACCAUCACAUCAAACACAAACCAGCAACACAAUCACACACCAUCACAUCAAACACAAACCAGCAACACAAUCACACACCAGCACAUCAAACACAAACCAGCAACACAAUCACACACCAUCACAUCAAACACAAACCAGCAACACAAUCACACACCAGCACAUCAAACACAAACCAGCAAUACAAUCACACACCAUCACAUCAAACGCAAACCAGCAACACAAUCACACACCAUCACAUCAAACACAAACCAGCAACACAAUCACACACCAGCACAUCAAACACAAACCAGCAAUACAAUCACACACCAGCACAUCAAACACAAACCAGCAACACAAUCACACACACCAUCACAUCAAACACAAACCAGCAACACAAUCACACACCAGCACAUCAAACACAAACCAGCAACACAAUCACACACCAUCACAUCAAACACAAACCAGCAACACAAUCACACACCAGCACAUCAAACACAAACCAGCAAUACAAUCACACACCAUCACAUCAAACGCAAACCAGCAACACAAUCACACACCAUCACAUCAAACACAAACCAGCAACACAAUCACACACCAGCACAUCAAACACAAACCAGCAAUACAAUCACACACCAGCACAUCAAACACAAACCAGCAACACAAUCACACACACCAUCACAUCAAACACAAACCAGCAACACAAUCACACACCAUCACAUCAAACACAAACCAGCAACACAAUCACACACCAGCACAUCAAACACAAACCAGCAACACAAUCACACACCAUCACAUCAAACGCAAACCAGCAACACAAUCACACACCAUCACAUCAAACACAAACCAGCAACACAAUCACACACCAUCACAUCAAACACAAACCAGCAACACAAUCACACACCAUCACAUCAAACACAAACCAGCAACACAAUCACACACACCAUCACAUCAAACACAAACCAGCAACACAAUCACACACACCAUCACAUCAAACACAAACCAGCAACACAAUCACACACCAUCACAUCAAACACAAACCAGCAACACAAUCACACACCAGCACAUCAAACACAAACCAGCAACACAAUCACACACCAUCACAUCAAACACAAACCAGCAACACAAUCACACACCAUCACAUCAAACACAAACCAGCAACACAAUCACACACCAUCACAUCAAACACAAACCAGCAACACAAUCACACACCAUCACAUCAAACGCAAACCAGCAACACAAUCACACACCAUCACAUCAAACACAAACCAGCAACACAAUCACACACCAGCACAUCAAACGCAAACCAGCAACACAAUCACACACCAUCACAUCAAACACAAACCAGCAACACAAUCACACACCAUCACAUCAAUCACAAACCAGCAACACAAUCACACACCAUCACAUCAAACACAAACCAGCAACACAAUCACACACCAUCACAUCAAACACAAACCAGCAACACAAUCACACACCAUCACAUCAAUCACACACCAGCAACACAAUCACACACCAUCACAUCAAACACAAACCAGCAACACACACACACACCAUCACAUCAAACACAAACCAGCAACACACACACACACCAUCACAUCAAACACAAACCAGCAACACAAUCACACACCAUCACAUCAAACACAAACCAGCAACACAAUCACACACCAUCACAUCAAACACAAACCAGCAACACAAUCACACACCAUCACAUCAAACACAAACCAGCAACACACACACACAGCAACAUUUGUGAUCCAGACUGAGAUUUACAUAAAUGCAGAACUGCACAUAAUUGCACUGUUUCUUAUGCUACUAUGUUCCUCAGUUCAAUAUUAGCAGUGUAGGGUUGAAUCUUGAACAUCUGCUACCUUAGCACCUCGUGUGGAAAUGUGGGAAGAAGUCUAGCUAUUCACUUGCAACACCACAAACCAGUAGCACAGAUAGGAUAGUUAACACGGUUUUUAUUAUAAUUAUAUAAUUAUAUAUAAAU
ensembl:lncRNA